rnacentral:sRNA from 1 species
UUGUGGGUUGGCUAUCAGUAUGUUAUCACCGGCCGGAACCGCUCCUUGGAAGGUCGCUGGGAGGUGGCAUUCAAAGGCUCUUCAGAGGUGUUCCUGCCCCCAGACCCCAUCUUUGCCUCGGCCAUGUCUGAGAACGACAACGUGUUCUGUGCCCAGCUUCAGUGCUUCCAUUUCCCCACCCUACGGCACCACGACCUCCACAGCUGGCACGCCGAGAGCUGCUACGAGAAGUCUUCAUUUCUGUGUAAAAGAAGUCAAACAUGUGUUGACAUCAAGGACAACGUGGUGGAUGAAGGGUUCUACUUCACCCCUAAGGGGGACGACCCAUGCCUGAGCUGCACCUGCCAUGGAGGGGAGCCUGAGAUGUGUGUGGCUGCUCUCUGUGAGAGGCCCCAGGGCUGCCAACAGUACCGCAAGGACCCCAAAGAGUGCUGCAAGUUCAUGUGUCUGGACCCAGGUGAGACUCUUGAUAGGACGUCCCAAGUCAGCCUUCCUAUUUGGGGCUGGAGGCUGGGCGU